rnacentral:lncRNA from 1 species
CAGGGAUGAGGCCAUUUUUAAUUUUUCUUCAACAGUGGAGAAAUUUAAGGCCCACAAGACCCGGUUCAGAACUGACUAGGAUGUCUUAGAAUUCCUGAAGCUACCAGCAAGGGAAAAGAAUCCUCCCAGUUCUCCAUUCUGAGUUCCAGGGCUCUUUGUAGGGCAUGGAGUCAGUGGAGGUGGUCUUAGGCCAUUUGAGCUGCAGCCCAGCUGUGAAGGCCUUCAGGACAGGGAAUGUGUUUCUCAGUCUUUCCCAUUCCCCCCCCAACCCCAACACAUCUAAGCACCCUGUCUGGCAAAGAGAAGGCAGGCCCUCGGUGGAUGUUUGCUGACCUGGAACCAAGAUUAGCGAGCUUUUCUGACUUCUGGCCUAGGGCAUUUCUAUCUACUACCUGGGACUUAACGAAAGCCAGGACUCUAAGGGGCAGAGGAGUGCAUGUCUUCUGGUGAGUCAGUCCAUCAGCAAGCCUAAUGCUGUGUGGUUUACCUACAACACUGCACCCUCACUGGGCCAACGGAUGGCGAGCUGGAUAAGUCAGUUCUGUUGGAGCAAGUUUGCUUUCCUGUCCCUAUGUGCCCCCGUGGGGUUAUCCCCAACAGUCCUAGGGCAGCAAGAAAGCACUUGAACUCCUAUAGAAAGUAACAGGCUUCUACAAGAAGUCCUGUUUCCUUAAUAUUCCAGUGGCAGGGGCCUCGCUACCUCACAAAGUAGGUCAUUAUACUUUUAGGAGCACUAAAGGAACUUUCUUCUCAUACUGAAAUUUGCUUCCCUUUAUUCUGGAGUAAUAGAAUAUAUAGUCUCUUCUGACAUGAACACUUUUCAAAUAUUUGAAAAUAGGGAUCACAUCCCCCAAAGACUUUUUUUCCCCCUCUAGGCUAAAUGCUUUCAGUUCCUUCCAGCAUUCUUUUUGUGAUUUGGUUUAUAGAUGCUUUUUUUGACCUUGUCUUCCCCUGGCUAUGGUCUAUGCCCUCCCUACAAAAACAAAAAACAAAAAACAAACAAAAAAUUCCCAGAUGUUCUAGUUCUGGUCUGACUAAUGCAUUUAGUAGAGGAGAAAUAUCACCACUAACGUUUUGGACAUUAGGUAUUUAUUGAUGUGUCCAGGUUGCUUUAAUUUUCUUAAUAGCAUUUGUUAUUUUUUUUUAUACUGAAGCUGCAGUCAACUCUCACCAUGCUGUGCUUCUGCACUUAGUUUUUUAAUUUUAAGUUUAGAAUCAUCUACUAAUUCUCAUUAAUUUCUAUUUUGGAUCCAUAUUUCAACCCGACUCUGCCAUCUUGUUUGUGGCUAGGGGACAGAUUGGAGAGGUCCCGAGGAGGAAAGCCCUUUUAGGUGACACCUCUGUCCAUGGCUGUUCUGUUGGUGAAGGAAGGAGAACAGAAGAACCCAGGAGUUAUCCUGGUGAGUGGAAAAUCAUGAGCUUCGUGGGGGUGGGAUUAAGAUCCAGGCCA